AGACAUUGCAGCGGGUAGUCGGGGGU
rnacentral:sRNA from 1 species